UACGGGGGGGGUAAGCGUUGUUCGGAAUUACUGGGCGUAAAGGGCUCGUAGGCGGCCAACUAAGUCGGACGUGAAAUCCCUCAGCUUAACUGGGGAACUGCGUCUGAUACUGGAUGGCUUGGAUUUGGGAGAGGGAUGCGGAAUUCCAGGUGUAGCGGUGAAAUGCGUAGAUAUCUGGAGGAACACCGGUGGCGAAGGCGGCAUCCUGGACCAGUACCGACGUUCAGGCACGAAAGCGUGGGGAGCAAACAGG
rnacentral:rRNA from 1 species